rnacentral:rRNA from 1 species
UACGGAGGGUGCAAGCGUUAUCCGGAUUUAUUGGGUUUAAAGGGUGCGUAGGCGGUUUAUUAAGUCAGCGGUGAAAGUUUUCAGCUUAACUGGAAAAAUGCCGUUGAUACUGAUAAGCUGGAAUAUGGUUGCUGUGGGUGGAAUGUGUGGUGUAGCGGUGAAAUGCUUAGAGAUCACACAGAAUAUCGAUUGCGAAGGCAGCUCACAAAGCCAUUAUUGACGCUGAUGCACGAAAGUGUGGGGAUCAAACAGGAUUAGAUACCCUGGUAGUCCACACUGUAAACGAUGAUAACUCGCUGUCGGCGAUAUACAGUCGGUAGCCAAGCGAAAGCGAUAAGUUAUCCACCUGGGGAGUACGACCGCAAGGUUGAA